ACGAUUUCGGUUUACACCGUUUUCUACCUAUGUCUACGCGUACCACACGUUUCCUCGGGGGCUUGCCCCCCGUUAGGACUUUAUAUCAACCUUUUUGCAAUAGCAGUCAGCGUCUGAUAAAUAAUUUAAUUAUUA
rnacentral:misc_RNA from 1 species